rnacentral:lncRNA from 1 species
UGACUUUCUCAGCCGACGCUUAUCUAACCUGCAACAACAUUUACAGGUGAGUUAAUUUUGUAAUUUUGUAGAUUUUACAGUUCCCGAUAAAAAUAUAUUUAUUCAGUAAAAGUUGUAUUGCUCAUUAUUAAUGAUAGUUUUAGUUUGAAAAUCUAUGAGAAAAUAGCACUUUAAAACGUUUAAACUUUUCACAACAUAGUUCACUUCAUUUUGUAGUAACGAUCAAAAUUACUGAACUACAGCUAUACAUGUACAUGUACAUUAUCUUAUUUGCAUUAUAAUUUCACGGCGUAAUUUUGUUGUGCUUUGUUGAUUUUAUCAGUCCGUUAGUUCUUGAUCUCUAUACUUAGCUUGAUGUGUAAUAUUGUGGUUGUGACUGAAUUAAUGUAUUUCUUUUUCAAAUUUGUUGAAAAAAUGUAUAUGUUGAAAUAAAUGUAUAUGUUAAAAUAAAUGAUGCAUUUACAGCUAUAACUUCAUAAAACUGAACCGAGAAACUGUCUUAUAUUUGCACCAAAACGUAACUCGGGUGUAAACGUAGUCAUUUGUUUUGGAAUUUUACUGGAUAUAAAGCAUUUUCCAUUUUCCAUAUUCUCCUCUAUUUUUAUCUUACAAAAUAUUGUCCAAUAAAAUCAAAUUGGAGUGGACCUGAUAUUAUACUCUUUCUUAUCUUGCUACACAUCUAUAAUUUAUUUAUUUAUUUUGGUUAUCAAUUAAAAGAUCUUAUAUACUUCAAAUUGUUUAAGUUAUCUAAUCUAUAUUUCCUCACAUCUAUACAAUCUUAAAACAACAUAAAACUCUUAUAGAUAGGAGAAAGAACCAAAUAAUUAAAUACAAAAUUAAUACGUACAUAAUUAAAAUUAUUUGUUUUAAGGACGUUUCAUUAUGGUUGGACGUUCAAAGCAAAUGGAAGAUGGAUCAGAUUCAAAAUGAUAACUGCACUGAAUUGGAAAUUAAAAGUGCAAUUUUUGAAUGAAAGCACAACGGCCAAUUACAUUAACAUAGAUAAAAAAACACACACACAGAAAGCAACAAAAUAAGCAGUAGCUGUUAAUGCCUAUGAAGAAUGGAGGAAAUCAAAAGUAAGUGUUACAUUUUACAAGACUUGAAAGGUUGAACGGUUCAUGAUAAAACAGCAGUUUAAGAAAAUUUGUAGAAUAUUGAAAUAAAAAUGGACAGAAAUAAUCUGCAAUGUAACUCUGUAUUUUUAUUAAGGAAUGUGGACACAAUAAAUAUUCUAACCUUAACUUGUUAAACGCAUAUUUGAUAGCCAAGGGUUAUGAUCCACUUCCCUCCUCUCCACCCUUGGUUGAUUGAGAUAGAAUUUCGGAAACAUAAUGUAAUGCUUUUCAUUGGUUGCAGUCGAAACUCGCAGUGUAAAUGCAGAAAGUGUACAUGUAGGUAAACAAUUGCCACGUACUUAUUGUGCAACAAGUCUUUACAUCCCUUAAAAUACGACCAAAUUUAGUGACAAUUUGAAUAUUUUUAAUCGAUUUAUAGAAUUUUGUAUGUAUUUUCUAGCACAAAUGCAUGAAUGUCAAAGUAUAUUUUAGUUUCCUCCUUUACCAAGUGUGUAGAAUCUAGACGCUACCGUGGUUUUACCUCCAAAUUGAAGAGUUCAGGUGCUACCAUUGGUCAAGAAUAAUGUAUUCGGAAUGUGCGUGACGUUAAUCUACCGGUAGAUGGCACAACAUUGUUAUCACAUAUGUUGACUUAAUCUGCGAAGGGUGGAGAGGAGGGAAGUGGGUCGUAACCCUUGGCUAACGAAGAUGGUUAAACGAGGCCUGGGAUGUUAAAAAGUUCUGUUAAGUUUUACUACAUACUCUCGAUACUGUUUACUUAUAUAUAAGGAACACAUCUGCAUAUAUCAAACCAAAGGUUCCAAGGAGCCUGUGUCGCUCACCUGAUAUUUCUAUUUACUAUUGAUGCAUGAAAUAUUGCAACCAAUAUACUUUUACUUUAGUUUCACAGAAAUAUGCCAACAACUGCGUUUUCCCACUAUGUUUUUGUUUAGCCAUGUCGGUCAUGUUGGUUGGCAGACAGGGUCAAUCGACACAUAUUUUUAAACUACAUACGCUAAUGCUUAUUUGUGGCUUUGGUUAAAUUUGUCUCAGUUGUUACAGAAGAAGACUCUUUUAAAAGAUAACAAAAAUUUAUGAAAAAUUGUUAGGGGGUUUGACAAAUUUUACUUUAGAGGACAAUAACUCCAUCUGGGCUCAAUUGACCAUUUUGUAGAUCUUAUUUGUAUAUCUGACUUUGAUGAAAAUAAUUGCUGUUUACACAUGUUACAGUUUAUCUCUAUCUAUAAUUAUAUUCAAGAUAAUAACUAAAAUCUGCAAAAUGUCCUUAAAUUUACCAAUUCAGGAGCAGUAACCCGCUGAAUCCGAUUUGCUCUGAAUGCUUUGGUUUCAGAGAUAUAAGCCGAAAUCUACAUUUUCCCCAUGUGUUCUAUUUUUAGCAAGGGCGGCCAUCUUGGUUGGCAGUCCGGAUCAACAGACACAUUAUUCAAAGAACAUACCCCAUUGAUAAUCGUGAACAAGUUUGGUUCAGUUUGGGCCAGUAGUUAAAGAGUUGAAGAUUUUUGUAAAAACUAAACUAAGGAUGAUGAACGACGACGGACGACGGACGCCAAGAGAUGAAAAAAGCUCGCCUGCAAUUCUAGCUCCGAUCUACAUACUACUCUACUGAUUGAGUGAAGGAAAAUAGUUCGCAACGUAAAGACUCACUGUAAGGAGUUUGUAGUCACAUUUAAUAAUAGGUAAGACGGGUUGAGCUGUUUGUUCUUCAAGUAUAAUACUUUUGAAUAAUAUUAAUUUUUUUUUAGUUUGUAUGACAAUGAUAGAUAAAUUUGUUCUUACAUUUGUCGUAUGUAGCCGUAUGUUGUUUUAAUUGAUCACAAAAGACUAAGUAAAAUCUUCGGUUGUAAUAAAUUAACUGAAUUACAUUAUAUCAAUUGAUAACAAAUUCCGGAUCUUCGAGAUUUGUGUUUGAAUAACAUAUACACUUAUUUAUCAUAUAUUUAGUACAAAAUACAGCUAUUUUGUAUAUCUAAUAAAGGUUGUUUUUCCAGUCUGUAUCACCUACCCUGUAUCGCAUACCCCGUAUCGCAUAGCUAAACCCGUAUCGCAUACCCCGUAUCGCAUGGUAAAACCCGUAUCAUACCUUUUUUUUUUUUUACAUAAAGUUUUUUUUUUUUUUGCUUAGAAAAAAUUUCCUCAAAAUAGGUCAUUUUUUAAUGACGUCAUUGUGGUAUGUACACGUCACGAACGUCAAGUUUUCAUAUUGUAUGUGACGUCACGAACAUCAAGUUUGCAUAUUUUUGGACACUAAAUCACUAUAAAAAAAUCAAAACACUCAAAUAUACAAUAAUAAACAAAAUUUAAAAAGCAGCAGGCAAAUGGUAAGGACCUAGGUGCUUUGUAUAAGCAGUUAUUUUAAGGCUUUGAACCAAGACAAAAGCAGAACUGAAGGUAACCCAGUGCUAAAUCUAUCGGAUCAGAAACAUUCAUAUAAUAUAAUACUCUUCUGUUGAAAAUAUGAUAAAGCGUUUAAUACAUGGCAAAAUCCGUAUCACAUGCCGUAUCACCCUCGACCAAUAUCAUCCCUCGGGCCUAAAGGCCCUUGGGAUGAUAUUGAUGUCUCGGGAUGAUACGACAUAUGAUACGGAUUUUGCCAUGUAUUAUCUUCUAUUAUAUUAAACUACAUCAGACACAAACUGAAACUCUUAUCGCAAUAGAAUCAAUCACAUUAGCUGUAUAAUAGUAACGUUUUGAUCAAACAUGUUUUCUUUGAGUCGUUCUGAAUAUAGAUAAUAAUUAACUAAAAUCAAAAUACAUUAUUAACCAACUAAGUACAUUAUUGCCAAAAAUGACUGGUUAUUAAAAAUAACAUAUUUUCUGUAAUGGCCCUGUUUUUCUGUAAUGGCCCUGUAUUUAUGCCCGGUUUGUCUGUAUAAAGCACAAUUAGAGUUUUUAAUAAAGUUAACAAAAUUAAGUUGUAAAGAGUAUAAUAUUUUUUUGUAUUUUAUUUAAUUUAGUAACCAGCAACCAACAUUAAAGAACCAUAUAUAGGGAUCACUGUUUAUCCUGUUUUUCAACAUAUAACUUCUUCCAACUUAAUAUCUUAGAUAUCUGGUAUAUUAACACAUUACACUUUUAUUCAGUUGGUUAAUAAAUGUAUUUAGAAAUGGGUGUUUUAUAAUGGCUCUGUUAUAUGUCCUCGGUCAGGAAUAAUGGCCUCGGAUGUCUGUAAUGACCCUCGGCGUUGAGUCGAGCCAUUACAGACUUCCUCGGCCAUUAUUACAGACCUUGGACAUAUAACAGGGCCAUUAUAAAAACACCCAUUCAUUGAUUUUAUAAUACUAUUUAAUAGUACAUAUACUGUCCGGAGUCAAACAUGUCAAAAUUAAUCGGUCACAGUGAAGUGUCAAAUAAUCUAUAUACAGUCUAGUUAAUCUCUAACAAAAGAAGCCGACCCAUAUAAAAUAAACCCUAUUCAUGAAUUUAUCAUGUUGUAUACAAUUGAAAGAUCUGUAUUGUUUGAUUAAAUAUCAACUGAUGUUUAAAUUUAUAUAGAUUCUGAAAUGAACUAUAUUUUGUCGACCUCUCCAUAGACAUAUCUGUGUAAAUAAACGUGUUCGAAGAAGCAAAAUGGCAGGUACGUUCUAUCUAUAUUUGUAUUACUGUUCUAAAAGUUUUUAAACAAACAUAUAUAUAUGAAAAUAAUUUAUAGAAAACAAAAACUAAAAUCAAAAGCAUCAUAAGCAUAGUGCUUAACAAUUCACGUUAGUAACUAUAACGAAAUUCAGCUUUGUUUAUUUAUUAUUUCUCAUUGAUCCAAAAUAAUUAUGCUGUACAGAGGCGGAUUUAGGGGGGGGGGGGCAGGGGGUCCGGCCCCCCCCCUUUUUCAGAAAAUUUUUGGUUGGUUAUAUAGGGAAUCACUGAAGCGUGACAGAAUCGGGCCCCCUCUUAGGCAGUCAGUGGGCCCCCUCUUAUGAAAAUUUCUAGAUCCGCUACUGCUGUAUGAUGUCAAUGCAACAUUUGCAAUGAUGAUAAUGAAAACGAUGGAAUUCGAUAUCUCGAUAUCUCAGUAUUGACUUUAUUUGCACUAUAAAUAGAAAAUAAACCGGUUUGAAAAGAAUUUCAUUGAUGUAUGUAUCCAGGUAUAAGCCACACGUCAUCAACAAAAUGGCUGGUAAGUUAUAGUUAAUAACAAUGUUCUGAUCUUUAAUGUGAAUUUUAAAAGAGACAACACGAUACCGAAGGGACUACAAGACAACUGCAGAAUACAAAACACAACAAAGAAAGCAUGUUUCAUUAUAUUUAAUUUAAAACAUCAUAGAUGUGAUUAGUCGAUAUAACACAUAAGGUCAUUCAAGCGUUUUGAAAAUAAUUUCAAUUUGUAAAUAUAUACUUGUUUACUUCAACAGUUCAGGUGCUACAGUCAUUGAUUUGUUUUAUUCGAGUGUAGCUGAUGAAGCAUUUGAACAUGCUGAAGGCGAAUCGCGAGUACGGCGAACAAACUAUUUAAGCUUUGUAUCUGUGACGAGUUUUGUUUACACUAAGAAAUUGAUAUAGACUGGUGCAUAUUCUCAAGAGCUUCUGACACAUGAAAAAAGACUGAAUAACGUAAAUUUAGGUUAUUUAGUAUCGCAGUAUGUGUUCAUGUAUACAUAGAUUCGUCGGGAUGGGAUCUAUUUUAUAAAUUGUACCCGAAGUGUUGAUGCAUCGACAAACAUGACAGCUAUGGCAAAAAUAGAAUACAGUGGUCAAAUACAGUUUUCGGCUUAUAUCUCAAAAACUAAAGCUUUUAGAGCUAAUCUGACAAUGGCUUAAAUUGUUGCAAUUGGUUAUGAUUUAUCAGCCGUGAAAUACAGACGAAUUUCACAACCCAUUAUUAGAUUGCUGCCACGAAAUUGGUUGUUUAAAGGAAAUUUGGCAGUUUUUUGUUAUUAUCUUGAAUAUUAGUACAGAUAUAUAUAUAUAAACUGUUCAUUGCAAUAAUGUUCAACAAAGUAAGAUCUAUAAAAAAAAAUUGAUGUGUUCAAAAUUAUCAUAAUCCAUUAAGGAGUUAUUGCCCGUUUAAGACAAUUUUAAACGAUUUGUUCUUCAAGUUUGCUGACAUUCAAAAAUCUUCUCUUCUGAAACUACUUUGAAAAAUACCUUCAAUCUUUAUCUACAUUUACCUUGGGGAAUCUUGUUUAUCCAUUGUAUGCAAAGUGUUGAUCCGUCGUCAAACAUGGCCGCCAUGGCUAGAUCUAAAACAUAAGGCUAAUGCAGUUUUUGGUUUCUAUCACAAAAACUCAACUUUGAGAGCAAACCUGAAUAGGUAAAACCGUUCAAAAGGUCAAAAUCAAUCAGCCCUGGUUUUUUUUUCAAACAAACCGAACAACCCAACUGCUAUUCAAUUAGUUAUUUUAAGAAAUUGGUGCAGUGUUUUGUUAUUAUAUUGAAUAUUAUUGAAGAUAAAGAUAAACUGUAAACAGCCAAAAAUUUCAGCAAAGUAAGAUCUACAAAGUUGUCAAUUGACCCCUUAAGGAGUUAUUGCCUUGCAAGAAUACUCAAUAUUACAUUAAUAUACAUUGAAAGGCAACAAAUCAUCAUUGAUGAAGGAAUUAGGCAAAAAACAAUAGGUUAGGGAUUAACAUGAUUCGGACUCUUGAGAGCCUCUUGUUUAUCUUCUACAAGAAUGUAAAUUUGGGUGGGUUUUUUCCACUACACGUAUUGUUUUUACAUGGGAACAUUCUAUAUACCGGGUAUUGUGCAUAUUACGCGUUUAAGAGAUCUGUGUAGAUACAUGUAGCAUGUCGACAUACAUUCUAGAUUAUUUUAUAAUAUGCUGUUGGUGUGUUACUUUUUCCACAACAUUCAAUAUUGUAAUAAAAACUCAGGUGUACUUAGGGUGAACGUAGAUGCUAAAUACAUAAAAUCUUAGACUUUCAAAAGAAAACAAAAAUAUAAUUCAUUUAAAUGCACGUAUAUAUCAUGUAUGCAUAGCAUUAAUAUGUUGUUUAUACGUAUUCUUGUAGAUUUUCAAAGAAGGUAUGAUUUUAAACAUAACACGGCAAUAUAUAUUGCAAUUUGACAAACUUUAAAAUGAAAAUAAAAAUCUGAACGAAGGUAGAAUUAUAAAUGAUGUAAAUAGCACUUAAAUUAAAACACUUCUUUUUAAAAUUCAUUACCUGUGUACAAUUUUUAUUAUAUUUAAGAGCCCAAUCACAAUGUGUAAAUAUCUGUGUAAAUAUUUGUGUUGAUUUUAAAAGCAUUUAACCCAUAUAUACCCUUAUACAUAACGAAGGAAAAUACCUGUACAGAACAGGAAAGAACAAGCACUGAGUUUGAUAAUUUUGAAGUUAUCAAAUGAACGUGAUUAAAACACUUUAAAACUGUUUGCAAAGUUAUCUCCCUGUGUUGUCCUACACCACCUUUAUUAUAAGCUGUACAAGCUGCAAACCCACAAAAUGAUUAGAUAAAAUAAAACAUCAGAAAACAAGAAGAAGUGAUCAACAGAUCUGAAAAUUAGCUCGUCAUAGAUACCUGGAAUUAAAUUUUGAAUUUGCACCAGACUCGAGUUUCGUCCACAAAUACUCACAAGUGACGCGCGCAUCUAAACAAAGUAAAAGAGGGAAAAAAAACCAUCCACAAAUUACAAGUCACCACUGCCAAACGUGUCAAAAAGAUGUAGACCAAAUGUGAACAAAUUAUGUACAGUUGUUGCAGAAAAUCACAAACGUAUAGAGACCCGUAUUAUAUUUGCUGCGUCACAAAUCACAGGGGAUAAGAAACACAAAUUAAAUGAUACUAUUUUUAUAUGAGCUUGCGCAGGAGCUCUAUUUUCAGAAACUCCUACGCGAUUUUUAUUGUCAUAACUAAUUAAUCAAGUUCAUUUACAUAAUUGUAUAUGCCGUCACAAUGAUAACAUGAACAUUGUAGCUAACCUAGACAGUAGAGUAAAGGCGCACAAGUUGUCAAAUUCAUAAUCAAAAACUUGAGGAGUGUUUAUUAAGUUGAAGUCAUCCAGUAAUGAUUGUUCUCUCUUUUGGUCUGCUUUAACCUCAAGGAUCAAUUUUUUUCCCGUCAGAUAAAAAAAACCAAUUGUGUUGUUAUGGUUUCUAUAAGUAGUAUCAAAAGUACCAGGAUUAUAAUUUAGUACGCCAGAAGCGCGUUUCGUCUACAUAAGUCUCAUCAGUGACGCUCAAAUCGAAAUAUCUAUAAAGCCAAACAAAUACAAAGUUGAAGAGCAUUGAGGAUCCAUAAGUAAUUGUCAAUUAUGAUUUUUAAGAUUGUCUGAUAACCUCUUCCUAAUUGUUUCAAUAUUGCACUAUUCAUGCUAUUGUCAUUCCUUUAACUAUCACAAUAUAGUAUGAAAAACAAGAAUAUACUGCAAAGUAAACAACAAUACUUUGUACAACAAGCAUUUUAUUCACAAAUAAUACAGUCGCCAUUAUCAAGUUCGUAAAAAGAAAUCAGUUGUGACUUUUAAGAGCAGUGACUAUCUAAAUGUCAAAUUACCGUACUGGAAACACAAAGGGAAAAAAGCAACAAAACAAAAAUGUAAUUGAAUAUAAUUUUCAACUUUAAUUAUAAAUAUUUGCCUCCGCUUGACCGACAUAAAUGUGCAAGUUAUAAUCUUUUUAUUUCAAACUAAAUAUCAUUUCAGAACCAGCAACACAC